rnacentral:lncRNA from 10 species
AAACUUUUAACUAAACUACUUCCAAAUAUAUCACAAAACUGAUGAGUUUUCCCUGUCUUCCCAUCUAUUACUUCAUAUGUCACUUUGGGUUUGUCUGAUGUUUCCUCACAGUGACAUUCAGGUUAUGCAUUUUAGGCAGAAAUAUCACAGAAGUGAGAAGUGAUUCUGUGUUCUUCCAAAUGAGGCAUAAGGAGAGAGGAGAACGAGAUAAGAGACAGAAGCAGCAUUUAAAGAAACACUGGUCAGGAAAUCUUCAACUUUGAAAGAAAACAUCAACCUACAGAUUCAAGAUGUACUUCAGACCUAAGCACCGUAAGUACAAAGAACAUCAGACCAAGGCCUAGUCAAGACAAUGAAACCCAGAAACAUACAGCGCCUGUUAAAAUAAUACAGAGGAAAAGACAAUAGCGUCUUCAAAGGAGCAACAACACUGGCAGCUUACCUUUCAACAAAAUGAUAAAAUAUAGAAGACAGUCAAAUGCUAUAUUUAAUUGGCUGAAAUGAGACAAAAAUGCCACUUGCAGAAUUUUGCUCUCAGCAAAAUAUUCUUCAAAAUUAAAAGUGAAUGUUAUUUUCAUACCAUAUACAUAAUGGAAUAUUAUUCAGCCUUUAAAAAGAAUGAGAUCUUGUCAUUUGCCACAACAUGGAUGGAACCGGA